AUUGAACGCUGGCGGCAGGCCUAACACAUGCAAGUCGAGCGGAUGACAGGAGCUUGCUCCUUGAUUCAGCGGCGGACGGGUGAGUAAUGCCUAGGAAUCUGCCUGGUAGUGGGGGACAACGUUUCGAAAGGAACGCUAAUACCGCAUACGUCCUACGGGAGAAAGCAGGGGACCUUCGGGCCUUGCGCUAUCAGAUGAGCCUAGGUCGGAUUAGCUAGUAGGUGAGGUAAUGGCUCACCUAGGCGACGAUCCGUAACUGGUCUGAGAGGAUGAUCAGUCACACUGGAACUGAGACACGGUCCAGACUCCUACGGGAGGCAGCAGUGGGGAAUAUUGGACAAUGGGCGAAAGCCUGAUCCAGCCAUGCCGCGUGUGUGAAGAAGGUCUUCGGAUUGUAAAGCACUUUAAGUUGGGAGGAAGGGCAGUAAGUUAAUACCUUGCUGUUUUGACGUUACCGACAGAAUAAGCACCUAACUCUGUGCCAGCAGCCGCGGUAACAC
rnacentral:rRNA from 1 species